UCCACAACAUGCAAUCGUGUUGCCCACCCAAGGCAUCAUUCGUGGGUCAGAAAAUGUCGCUGUGAGAGUUGCGUGUGCUUCAGUGUUUUUCCCUUUGUUUUCAUACUGCACUUUGAAAAGGAUUCAAUGACAUCUAAUGACCUUAAUAAGAAAUUUUAUUCUUAUGGGGGCCCUUGACUUAGGGAUAAUUUCUCUUUUAUAUGUUUUUGAUAUGGCAGGCUAAUGUAUCAUUUUGUUCUUUUAUUCCACAAACGCAGCAAAUUCUAAGCCUAGGCCUGAGCAACUCAGUCUUUCUCAAUCACAUACAAACUGUGAAUGUUGCUAUGACUUACUGUAAUUUAUUUUUGUAUAUGCUAUAUUGAUUUAUGAAUGGUAUUUACGCAUAUACUUCAUGACAUAAAGCCAGUAGAGAACAAAUAAGCAUGGAUACAGUAAGUAUAAAUAUAAAUUUCCAUAUGAUUUAUUGUUGUUCCUUGUACAUAAGAAACAGUAAUAUACAACUUACACUGCUUUAGAAUGUAAAAUGGAUAAAAAUGUGUACAAAAAAAAGCACAUUCCUAGAAAAAGGUAUUGGCAAAUAGUAAAAAUGGGAGGUCAAAAGCAAAAAAAAAAAAAAAAAAAAACAAAACAAAAAAAAGAAAAAACCAACAAUUCUUCAAUUCAGUGUGCAAACAUUAUAUAAAAAUAGAAAUACUAACUCUACAGGCAGUAUUUCCUGAUAAAUUAUUUAAAUAGCAUAUCUACACAAUCUGAGAUAUCUAUUCCAAUGGCAAUGAGAAAAUAAUUUAUAAAAAUAAAGCAAUGGUAUACCAGAUGAUAGAAAAAAAACAUAACUUUCAGAAAUUGUAUUUAACAUUUCAAUGCUAUUUCCUUAUUGGGAAUACUUCUCUGCAGAGUUUUUAUGCUAUGUACAACACUGACUUUUUAGGUACUACAGUAGCUUUAAGUUUGUUAGACACUUAAACUCUUUCCGCUUGAUCCAAAAAUUCUUUACUCAGUCACACAACAAAUGAGGUAAUAUUUGUAUGUAAGUUUCACCUUUUGUCAUUUUUUUCUCUUUUGGAAAAAUGAAAGAAAAAAGUGUAUAUGCUUUCCUUCUCCCUGGAAAUAUGCACAAGGGAUGGGGUAAAACAGUAUUGAAGACCUCAUGGCUUUCUUUGCAAUUUAAAACAUUUGCAAAUGGAUAACCAACUAAUUCCACUUGAAAAGAUAAAACAGAGAAAAAAAGAAUCCCAUAACAUCCACUCUGAGCACAAGG
rnacentral:lncRNA from 1 species